UGGGAACAUCAGGUAUGCUGGGAGUCAGGUCCUGGCUCAGAUUGAACGCUGGCGGGAUGCUUUACAUCUUAAGUGGAGCAGCCGCGCAGACUGGUCCUGGUGGCGAGUGGCGAACGGGUGAGUAAUGUAUCGGAACGUGCCUAGUAGCGGGGAUAACUACGCGAAAGCGUAGCUAAUGCCACAUACGCCCUUCGAGGAAAGCGGGGGACCUUCGGGCCUCGCACUAUUAGAGCGGCCGAUAUCGGAUUAGCUAGUUGGUGGGGUAACGGCUCACCAAGGCGACGAUCCGUAGCUGGUUUUGAGAGGACGACCAGCCACACUGGGACUGAGACACGGCCCAGACUCCUACGGGAGGCAGCGAUGGGGAAUUUUGGACAAUGGGGAAACCCUGAUCCAGCCAUCCCGCGUGUGCGAUGAAGGCCUUCGGGUUGUAAAGCACUUUUGGCAGGAAAGAAACGGCACGGGAUAAUACCCGUGCAGCCGGUCACCUGCAGAAUAAGCACCGGCUAACUACGUGCCAGCAGCCGCGGUAAUACGUAGGAGUGCAAGCGUUAAUCGGAAUUACUGGGCGUAAAGCGUGCGCAGGCGGUUCCCGGAAAAGAAAGAUGUGAAAUCCCAAAGAGCUUAACACGGGUGCUGCACGUUUAACCCGAGCUAGAGUGUGUCAGAGGGAGGUGGAAUUCCGCGUGUAGCAGUGAAAUGCGUAGAUAUGCGGAGGAACACCGAUGGCGAGGGCAGCCUCCUGGGAUAACACUGACGCUCAUGCACGGCGUGGGAGUAAGGCAGGUUAGUCACCUGGUAGUCCACGCCCUAAACGAUGUCAACUAGCUGUUGGGGCCUUCGGGCCUUGGUAUGACUAACGCGUGAAGUUGACCGCCUGGGGAGUACAGUCGCAAGAUUAAAACUCAAAGGAAUUGACGGGGACCGCACAAGCGGUGGAUGAUGUGGAUUAAUUCGGUACAACGCGAAAAACCUUACCUACCUUGACAUGUCUGGAAUCCCGAAGGGAAUUUGGGAGUGCUCGCAAGAGCCGGAGCUGGGUGCUGCAUGGCUGUAGUCAAAGCUCGUGUCGUGAGAUGUUGGGUUAAGUCCCGCAACGAGCGCAACCCUUGUCAUUAGUUGCUUUACGAAAGGGCACUCUAAUGAGACUGCCAGUGAUCAAACCGGAGGAAGGUGAGGGAUGACGUCAAGUCCUCAUGGCCCUUAUGGGUAGGGCUUCACACGUCAUACAAUGGUCGGGACAGAGGGUCGCCAACCCGCGAGGGGAGCCAAUCCCAGAAACCCGAUCGUAGUCCGGAUCGCAGUCUGCAACUCGACUGCGUGAAAGUCGAAAUCGCUAGUAAUCGCAGAUCAGCGUAAUAAGGUGAAUACGUUCGGGUCUUGUACACACCGCCCGUCGCACCAUGGGAGUGGGUUUACCAGAAGUAGUUAGCCUAACCGUAAGGAGGGCGAUUACCACGGUAGGAUUCAUGACUGAGUUGAAGUCGUAGCAAGGU
rnacentral:rRNA from 1 species